rnacentral:misc_RNA from 1 species
UCCGGUUUAACACCGGCAGUCUCCUUAGAGUGCCCAACUAAAUGAUGGCAACUAAGGACAAGGGUUGCGCUCGUUAAGGGACUUAACCCGACAUCUCACGAUACGAGCUGACGACAGCCAUGCAGCACCUGUCUCCCGGCCCCCGAAGGGGAAACCCUAUCUCUAGGGCUGUCCGGGGAUGUCAAACCCAGGUAAGGUUCUUCGCGUUGCAUCGAAUUAAACCACAUGCUCCACCGCUUGUGCGGGCCCCCGUCAAUUCCUUUGAGUUUUAACCUUGCGGCCGUACUUCCCAGGCGGGGUACUUAAUGCGUUGGCGUCGGCACUGCGGGGGUCAAUUCCCGCAACACCUAGUACCCAUCGUUUACAGCGUGGACUAC